rnacentral:RNase_P_RNA from 1 species
ACUACAAACCGUGCUAUCGUUUCACUGACUUGUGCAGUGAGAAGGAAAGUCCGGACAGCGCAGAGCAACGCACCACCUAACGGGUGGGUCCUUAUUUGAUCCGCUUUACGCGGGGCAGGUAGGGAACAGCAAGUGCCACAGAAAAUAACCGCCCCCGUUUAACAGCGGGGGUAAGGGUGAAAAUGUGGGGUAAGCGCCCACGGUGCAGGCAGGUAACUGUUUGUGCGGGUAAACCUUGCGUGCUGAAAUGCCAUGUAUACGGUCGCCUGAGGGCUGCUCGCCCGAUGACCGAGGGUAGGCAGAUACAGACAACGUGCGAACGUUGUCGCAGAUAAAUGAUAGCAGCCCCCCGCUUUACGCGGGGGGAACAGAAUCCGGCUUAUAGGUUUGUAGUUUUU